rnacentral:rRNA from 1 species
UACGAAGGGGGCUAGCGUUGCUCGGAAUCACUGGGCGUUAAGGGUGCGUAGGCGGGUUAUUAAGUCAGAGGUGAAAUCCUGGAGCUCAACUCCAGAACUGCCUUUGAUACUGAUAGUCUUGAGUAUGGGAGAGGUGAGUGGAACUGCGAGUGUAGAGGUGAAAUUCGUAGAUAUUCGCAAGAACACCAGUGGCGAAGGCGGCUCACUGGCCCAUUACUGACGCUGAGGAGCGAAAGCGUGGGGAGCAAACAGG